UGCACACCGGAGCCUAGGCCAUCCCUGUGCAUAGCAGCCAGGGGACUGGCAUCCACCCCAGAGGCCAUGUUACUCCCCAGGAAUGGAGAGCAGUACAGCCUGCAUGCUGAGUGCUGAGAGCAACACAGGACAGGGAUACUGCAUCAGGUGUGAGCUGUGAGAGGAGGGAAGCUGAUGUGAAAUGCAAUCAAGGGCAAUCUACUUCAGCUUGGAAGAGUGAGAUUCUGGUAGGUUAAGAUGCAACUUGGCUACACUUACACACUGCUGCUUGGCACAUUACUCUUGAGAACCUGAUACCUCUCCAGUUCCAGUAUGUGCCAAAUCCUACCAAAAGAAAAGAUCCACAGCCAACACACCAUUCAAGAAAUGUACAUCAAGCAUAUGUUAAACAAGCUAUGGCAAUGAAAGUCAGUGGAGAACAUUUGAUGGUUUGAGGCACAGCCAAGAGGACAUUGUACAAGCUGCCCUACACUGAUCUUCAAGUGCCUGGAGUCUCCAUCAAAAGAGAUCUUCCUGUGAGACAAGAAGUAAUUCAAUCUUUUUCUGGCUGGCUCAAGUCUUCUUAUCAAAGGCUACAAGUUCAUCUGUAGUGUACACAUCAUGUCCUUAAUUGAAUGAACUGAAGCUAUCU